AUAGCGUAUAUUAAAGUUGUUGCAGUUAAAAAGCUCAUAGUUGAAAUUCAGACCUGACCGGGCGGUCCGCCUAACGGUGUGUACUGUCUGGCCGGGCCUUACCUCUUGAUGAGCUGGCAUGCCCUUCACUGGGUGUGUUGGGGAACCAGGACCUUUACCUUGAGAAAAUUAGAGUGUUCAAAGCAGGCUUACGCCAGAAUACAUUAGCAUGGAAUAAUAAAAUAGGACGUGCAGUUCUAUUUUGUUGGUUUCUAGAGUUGCCGUAAUGAUUAAUAGGGAUAGUUGGGGGCAUUUGUAUUGUGUUGCUAGAGGUGAAAUUCUUGGAUUUAUGCAAGACAAACUAUUG
rnacentral:rRNA from 1 species